rnacentral:rRNA from 1 species
CCUACGGGAGGCAGCAGUGGGGGAUAUUGCACAAUGGGGGAAACCCUGAUGCAGCGACGCCGCGUGGGUGAAGAAGUAUUUCGGUAUGUAAAGCCCUAUCAGCAGGGAAGAAAGAAGACGGUACCUUACUCAGAAGCCCCGGCUAACUACGUGCCAGCAGCCGCGGUAAUACGGAGGGGGCGAGCGUUAUCCGGAUUCACUGGGUGUAACGGGAGCGUAGACGGCCGUGCAAGCAAGGAGUGAAAGCACGGGGCCCAACCCCGGGACUGCUGUUGGAACUGUGCGGCUGGAGUGCGGGAGGGGCAGGCGGAAUUCCUGGUGUAGCGGUGAAAUGCGUAGAGAUCAGGAGGAACACCGGCGGCGAAGGCGGCAUGCUGGACCGAGACUGACGUUGAGGCUCGAAAGCGUGGGGAGCGAACAGGAUUAGAUACCCUAGUAGUC